rnacentral:rRNA from 1 species
CAAUUUUUUUGAGAGUUUGAUCCUGGCUCAGGAUGAACGCUGGCGGCGUGCCUUAAGCAUGCAAGUCGAAUGGUCGCAAGACAAUGGCAGACGGGUG